AGUAAUAUGUCUGAUUUAAGUAAUAAAUUGUAAAUUUAUUUAAAAGAUUAAAUAUCUUUAUUACUA
rnacentral:tRNA from 1 species